UUCUUCCCCGAUGGGGGCACUGGGUUCCCCUCUGCACAUACUGAGUCAGGGGUGCAGGGUUCCUGCGGAGACACCCCGCCCCCCCCGCCCGGGCUUCCUCUGGGGUCCCGCGAGCGACCAGGUGGCUGAGGCGGAGCCACUUGCAGGGAUGACCACUUGCUGCCUCAGUGCCCUUUUCGCGUACACUGGAGGCGAAGCGGCCUCCGGCCUCCCUCCGAGGCAGCCCCAGGGCCGGGCGCGUCGUGAGAGCACGCGAGGUGACACUAGCAUGUGACCGCGCCAGGAGAAAGCGUACAAAGGCAGUGGGCUACUCUGCGAACGUGGGGACCCGCAGCCCUCUGACAGAGGUCUCUUGGGCCGGGGUCCUUGCCGCAGGUCUGCCUCCCGCCUUCCUCCGCCCGCUCUGAUCCUGGACCGCCCUCGAGCCCGACGGCCGAUCUGAACGUGGUGGACGGGGGCCAAGAAGUCGCUGGAAGCGUCACCGCAGCGCUCUCGGCGAUUAUGAGGCCCCGCCGUGCGGGUUUGCAGAGAGAACUCUGAGCGCCCCGGAAGAGUCGCGGGGUGCUGCCGUGUCCCCUUGGAACGCCCCGCCGUCGUAGCUGCCUGCCCGCCCGGGCUUGGUGCGCCGCCGACGCGUUAGUGCUGUGCCAGAAUCGUUCUCAGAUGCAGGGCAGGUGCUUGUCAGGAACUUCGAAGGGCGGAGGACCAGGCACCCACGGUGUAUUUAUUCAGGAGACUGAGAGAUCACGUUUCCGUAGAGUCAGCUCCAGGGCCUAAUACUCUUCCAUCCUGGUUUGAAGGGCCUUAGACUGGGAACGCAGGGGUUCGAACCUUUGUUCUGCUCGUUACUAGCCUUUGCGUCCAAAGAUGAGUCACCCAAACUUGGAACGUGAGCCUUCUCCCUGAAAUGGGAGAUGAUGGUAUGCGUAGUAUCGCUCUCCUGAGGUUCAGCUGUGGUCAUGAAGGUGAAAACGAGAGUACGGUGUCGUUACUAAGAAGUUCACGCCGGUUCCCUAACCUGGGGAAGAGGUGUGUUGUGCUCUCAGAGUCAGGUCCUGGGUCAGAAGCGGAACUAGAGCAUCAAAUGAGAUGACAUGUCCAACCUAGUGGAGCUCACGUUCCGGCGGGGCACUGGGCAGCAAAGAGCAAGGACGUGAUGUUAUUUCAGACGGCGGUAAGUGCGGUGAAGCAAAGGAAGACAAGGCCAAGAGUGGGAGAGCAGGGCAGGUCGUUUCAGAGGGGGUCUGUCUGGGGACACCUCUCAAAGGGGUUGGUAGUUGAAUGGAUUGACGGGAGAGGAAGAGCCUGAGGUAAGAGCAUGUCAGGCAGGAAUAAUCAUAGCAGUGAACCUUGCCUGGAGCUUACUGUGUGUGAGGCCCUCGUCUAAACGCCUAAUGAAGUCUUUACAGCCUUCUGAGGUCUGUAUUACUAUCGCCAUUUUUAUCGAUGGGGAUAGGGCCCUUGUGGGCGUGGGGCAGUGAAGAUGCCCCUCGAAGCGUGAUGGAAAGCCACAGGGAGGCUUGCAUCACGGGAAGAGCGUCUGACUUCAGUGCUCUUGGAGAGUUAGCCGGAGGGUCGUGGAGCGGGGAGGGUUGAGAGCGGGGAGGUGGGAGAGUCUUGCUGCCCCUGGGGAGAGACGGUGGGCGCCUGCACUAGGGAGGUACUGGCGAGGUGAUGGUACGUGGGCAAAGUCGUGGAAAGCUUCUGAAGCCGGGAGUGCUGGUGUGGACUUGCUAGUUGGAGGGUGGGGAAAAGGAAGAAGUGAUGACUUCUCAGGUUUUAGGCUGGAACAGCUGGAUGGAUAGUGGCGCUGUUUCCCGAGACGAGAGAAAGGGGUUUGGGAAGAAAACCGUGCAUUCUGUUUUGGACGAGUUUUAGAUGCCUGACAUAGUAACAGCAGUAUUGGCGCUAGGAAUAACAGUAAGCACCGUGUAAGCGUGAACUGUGUGCCCGAUGGGGUUUUAAACAUGUUCACACAUGUUAAUUCAUUUAAUCCUUAUAUCACAGCUGUGUGUGCCAGGAGCCCUCAGGGCCCCCACUUUACGCGGGAGAAGACAGAGGCACAGAGAGGUUCAGAGUGGCCCGCCUGCUGGCACCCAGCUGGGCAGUGAUGGAGCUGGGAUUCAGACCCCAAGCCGUCUGACUUCCAAGCCCAUGCAGUUUAUCCCUGUAACGCCCUGCAAGUCGACACGUUGAGUAGGCCCUUGGGUGUAUGGAUGUGGAACUCAGGGCAAUGGUCAGGGCUGAAGACACACGUUUGUGUUUCUUAAGAGAAAGCCCUCUUUGGUUCCUCAUUAAGCCUUGAUUGGCAAGGGGAGAAAGGAACACAGGCAGUUGGCGCUGUGCUAACUGGCCUUUCGUUACUUGAUUCCGUUCAGGCAGCCAACAUCCAUCCAGGCUGAGGUUCGUAUCUCUUCUACUUCUCUGUCUCUAGUCCCGAAUCUGGUGCUUGCCAUGGAGUAGAUGUUAGGCAUGACUUUAUAUGCAGGAUAUUGGCUGAGGUUUGGGGAGUUCAGAGAUGAAUAAAACAUAGCUCUCUUUCUGGAGGAGCAGAGUGUGAGGAAGGACCCGUGGGGAUAAAACUAGAGUGGACGGAGCGCACACUAAUGAGCUCAUCCUGGCCCUCUUGCCGCCCCCGCUCUGCCCCGCACGCUUGAGGGGUGGGGCGGGGCGGGGUCAGAGGAGCAAAAGAAGGCCUGAGCGGUCGCAGGAUGGAUUCGAGGUUCCCCAAGAGUCCUUUUCAAGAAAAGAAUGACUCAGAGCCUUGCCUAGUUUACUAUAUUUGCAUUAGUUUUAUUUGGCAACCGUAUAAUUUUUCCCAAGUGAAAUACAGUUUGAUAUUUGAAUAUCAUGGUGGAGUGAUGAGUUUUUCCAGUUCUGUUACAUCAGUGUUGACAGGGCCAGCUGGUGAAAUAAGGGAGUUGCCUUAAAAUGUUGCAGCUUGCAUAAUAGAGGGCGAUGGAGGGGUUGUGUGAAGUGUUUAGGCAGGUUUCCGCCCGGUUAAGUGAAUCAGGCCAAAGUUCCACACAUCGGAAUGAGUUUGAGUUUCUCUGCGGAUCAUCCCGUUAACACUGAGCUGUAUUUCUUGUCAGAGAAAGAGGAUCUGGUGAUAUUUGUCAUGAGUGGAAUUGUGUGGAACAAUGUGGAAACACAGGAACUUGAACCAUACAUACAAGAAUAGGAUUAAAUUAAAAGGAUUUACCAUACAUCUUAUGACUCUUUACUGGAGCCUUGGGAGAUAGAUAUGUUUUCUAUAAGUGGAGCAUAGUUGGAUUUCAUAGUUGGAUUUUUUAACCUAAUGGGAGGAACCUUUGUCUUUUAACAGAUAAAGAUGAAUGUCAUGUCUCAACCAACACUGAAAAUGUGACGUUUAGAAGACAUUUGCUAAGUCGAGUCACCUCAUGCAAAUUGUUGUUCAAGUCAAAGACAUCAUAAUGCAGAGUGCUUCAUCAGUACCACCAAAAGAUCAAGGAGGUGUUUCCCUGCUCCCCAGUCCUGUUGAGAAACAGCUGACUCAGAAGAAGUCGGCAUCUCCUGGAAAGACAGCGCGCACAGACGUUUUGACCCAGGAACUCCACUUCCAGGAAUCUGGCCUAUAGCUAUUACCGCACGAGUUCACAGACAGAUGUGGACAAAGAAAGGCACCUGCCAUAUCAGGAAACAAAGGAUGUUGCAGCCGUCAAGCUGUCAGCCACUGCAGCCGCCCCAGACUGUGCACCCAGAGCGGAUUCGGGACGGAGACACCCAGCAUGCCGGCCCCAGAUAGCUAAGUAGCUGGGCUGCCGUCGUUCGGGAAGGCCUCGGCAACGCUGUGAAGGAAGGAGAAGUCGUCUGACCCCUUGAGCUUGAGCCCCUGCUGCCUGACAGUACCGCACCACAGCCCACAGGCCCCCAUAUGGAACAUCAGGCCAGAUGUUUUACUGAUGUCACAGAUAACUAUCACUGCAGUAUUUAAAUGGACCCCAAGAGAAAAGCUCCAGAAUUUUCUUAAUUGCAUUCUAAAGAACGAAGAGUUAAUCUUAUCCAGGUUCAGAGCCAGAAACCUGUCAUAUGAAAUCCCAGCGAAGACCGACAUUCUUUCCAGGUUCGUUACUCGCCGUGGAGCUGAGUUUUCCAACGAUGCCCAGGCUGAGUAGCUGUUAGGAGAAACGGAGCCACUUGUGGCCACUCUGGGGGGCUCGGGGGGACGGCUCUCCCGGUGUGCGGGUUCCUUUUGGGGGGGAAAUGCCGCUUGGGAAGCAUGAAUAAGGAAACCCGAAAGACUGGGAGGGACCGGGGCGUCCCGGUUUACAGACACCAGGAGGUCACAGGUUUGGUCCCCUGCAGAGGUGCCCAGCGCACUGAUGGAAAGUGUCCCAGGCUUCAAGCUUCAAGCCUGCGAGUUUUAACUCCUACCCCUUCCAACCAUCAGAAGAGGAAGAGCUGCAAGAGAGCUGUGAACAGAGGAGUGUCCACGGGAGCGGGGAGGCUGCAGCCAGGCUCCCCAUCCGGGGAUGCGUGCAGGGAGACGGGCGCAGGCCGCCCUUUCCAUCCUGUUCUCCUACACGAGCCGAAGGGCCGGCGGGGCAGGUGUGACACGAUUCUGCUGGUUCCGUGCAUCCAAGCCCUCUUCUCUUUUCCACGUUGCUUGCAGCGCUUUGGUUCCUUCUUUCGGGGACCAGGCAGGGCUCCACUGUUUUUCUGGAUUCCAGGGUGUACCCCACCAAUUACCCGGGGUGGCUGGGAAUGAAGCCACUCUGCAAUGUUCUCGUAUGCAGCAGUCACAGCUGCCUGACCUCGAAGGGAGCAGUGGACCCAAGAAACCAACCAUGAGGCAAAACCUGGGGGUCCACGCCCUCCAGUCACACACCCUCGGGCCGGAAACUUGCAAACGAGGAAGUGCACCGGGGCCGGCUGGCGAAUGCCUUGCUUGCCUAGCUCGCAUCUGACCGGUGCCCACCGUGUGCCAGCUUCCGAGCCAGCCGCCGGGCAGAGACAUGGACCCCUGCCCCCGGGGGCUCACAUUCCAGUGGGGAUACACACCUGACGCUGGGGUCCCCCUGCUCUGAGCUCUGGGGGUGUCAGGGUGCUGCCCACCUGCCUGCCUGAACUUCCUGUCCCAGCCCGUCACCUGCCAGCCCGCAGUGGGCAAACCUCCAGCUGCCGUGUCACCUGACUGCUUCUCGGGGUGCUUCCUGGUCUCCAGGCUUCCCUAGGGUCCCGGCCAGGAGAGGAGAUGGUCCCCGUGUCACGGCUCAGGUGCCCUGUUGGCGGUCCUCCCCGACCCUUGAUGGCUGAGAGCCGCAAAGCUGGGACUAAAUAGAGAGGUGCGCCUCCUGGGGACCUGGGAAAUACCGGGGCGGAGACCUGCAGGUCUUCAGUCUGCAAAUUGUGCAUCUUAACCACGAGGGUCCCUGUGUUUGAAGAGCGCGUUUCUCCAUAAAGCGCAGGACAGGCAGGGCUUUCAGGUGACCAAACUGCAUCAGCACCUCCUCGGCAGCAGGCAGGAGGUGCCCAGACGGAACGUGACAGGAACGGGUCAGAACCCCUGCUCCUUCUGCCAAGGAAGCGGACAGAUGAUGAAGGCAAAGAAGUCAACUGUGGUGUAUUCGAAGGGAAACGGUUACGGAGAAAGAGGAAUCAGGCGAGAGGGAGAGGAUGACGCGUCACGGCCGUUACGAGUAGAGUGACCCAUGAAGGUGGCACUUAGAGCACGAAUUUGGAGACUUUCGUACGUGUCCUCGGGCAUCUGUCACUCCCAGGGACCAUCAGGCUUGGCUGGAGCGAUGCAGUCCUUGACGCUGGGUUCUGAAGACUCCGGGAACAUGCGUUCAUUGCUGUUGUUUGGAAAACCAGAAUCUACUGUGUAGCCCUCCUCUCACAGAAAUGGCAAGAGAAGAAGUGAGGGUGGCCUGGAAGGAGGCAGGAGAAGAGAGAGCAAAAUGGUUAAAAGGAGAGGGUGUGAACCAGAGUGCCGGGGCUUGAACCGAACACUCCCACCAGCUCCCCGCCUCCCACCCCCGGGUGGAAUCGGGAAGGUUGAUUAAGGUCCUGUCCUAUUAUCCCCAUCAUCACAGGGGGGUGGGGGGUGAUGGCCAUGGUGAACAUGAUGAUGGCACCUAUCAAACGACUGAUAAGCAGGAAGCACCUGGAAUCGCCUGGGCGGCCGGUCAGGGCCGUCACUCCCGAGUCAGUAGGCUCUAGACGCGUGCCCCGGGCGGUGCUUGUAAGCACCUGGGCUGGGAGCCCUUCAGGGCCCAGGGUUCAGCUGGGGCCUCCCGGGCAGCCCCUCUGCAGGGUGGUGCUGGCAGCCGGGAGCCUUUCUGCAUCGUGCUCAGAGCCUCUGCAGCCUCUCUGGUUUCUUGGCACUGUGAACCACUUGGUCUCAGUCCAGGGAUUUGCUCUUAUAGAAAAGAGAGGGAAAAAAUAGAAAAGUUGUGGAAAACUGACACAAGGAAUUAGGUCACCCUAGAAAUGCUAAGACAUCAGCAAAGCCCUUGAUUAGGAGGAUUUCAUUUGGGGACCUCUGAUGGCUGCCAGGCCCUGGCUGUGUAGGCAGAGAAUUCCAGAUGGGACAGGCAGGCGGGUGAAGGUCAAGACGAUCCACCUCCUGACCUCCGCCUUUCUGCUGCCGAGGGCAAGCCGUGGGGCUGCCCCACCGGUGAGGGUCUUGGACCUGGGGUCUGGGAGUUUGGGAUCCUGAUGUGGUGACCGAAGCAGGCUGCCCCUCCUCGUGGGAUUCAGCAUCGAGCUCCCCUACCAGCAGAACGCUAAGCCACCCUCCCCUCCUUCGGGGGCCUCAUCAUUGGACUUUCGCUUCCUUGGUUUUGAUGCCAGCGUCGUGUUCGCAGAGACGGAGCAAUUGUCACCAUUUGCCCUGCAAAACACCUCGAAUGAUGAAAGCUAGUCUUCCACUCUGCUGUAAGCCUUUAAGCCACUUACCAGACUGUUCUUACUAUAAAUGCAUCUCUGCAUAGACAGUCACCAGCCUCUGGAACACACUUACACCUUGGAGCGGCGGAAUGCAUUUUAAUGACAUUAGUAAGAGCUGGGACCCGAGCAAAGCGGUAAGGCCCUCUCUUGCUCAGUUAAAGGCGGCUGGAUGGGGCAAUGGACCACCUGUCUCGCAGGAGCCGGGCUGCAGGGAAAGGGAUGCUGCGACCCAUGCUGAGUGAGAAGGGAGGGCUUGAAAGGAAAGGGGGCUUGUAGGUGGUGGUUGGAUUUAACCGUAAAAAGAAGCAAAGGGAGAAAGGCUUGUGAUGCGGUGGAAUGAGCACCAGGCUUGCGAUUAGCUCUGAGGCAAGUUUUCUGCCUGUUUCCCCAUCUGUAAAAUGGGUGCAAUGGUAUCUAUCUACUCCCGUGAAGAAGAUGAAAAGGGGGUUUCCGAAUCCAUUAAGCACCACCUCAUACGGCCUCUGCGGUUGAUUGGGCACUGACUAGGAGACCGGCCCUGUGUUUGCAGCAACCCUGAAGGAAGGCAAGGGUGGCUGUGCCCAUUUUACAGAUAAGGAGAGCAAGACGGUUCCCUAACUUGCCCAGGGCCACGUGGCUGGCAGGCGGUGGAGCUGAGCUUCGGAUGCAGGGCUGCCUGGCUGCGUCUUUACCUCGGGAAGGAUGUGCUGUGUUUCCUGGUGACUGUGUAACGGGACAAAGCCACACGCCUGGAAACAGCAGCCUGAGUCCGUGAACUAGCUCCUCUUCUGCACGACUGCACCCCUGUGUGUACCCCGGCCCCUCUCCAGCGCCCACCACCCAGGAGCGGUGAGCUCUCUGGUCGCUUGCGGUGCCGGCCACCCUGAGCCAGGGCAGCAAGGAGCCAGACUUGCAAAAGUCCUUCUCCUCCAGAGUCCUGUGUCCGGCUGCUUAGACGGCAGGUGGGACCAGGACGCCGAGCAUCUCUCCAGGCCCUGGCCGGCAGCCGGCGCCUCUCUGGGUCUACGCUUACAGAGGGGAGAGUGCAGACCUCCCUCACGUGGCUUCUAGAGCGGGACAGCCCGCUGUCACGGCAACUCCAGUCAUGCCCCAAGCGCCCACUGAGCUCACUUAUUCUAAAGGCACUCAGUGUGAAGAGAAACCCGUCCCUGUUUUCCCUGCAAGGAUGUCAGCCAGCCACCUCCGUCCAGUCUCCUGUUCUCUAGGUGAAACCUCCCUGCCCCCUUGUCUUCGGGGCUUGUGGGACUGAGUUCUCAGAGCUACCGGCUUCCUGCAGCCCGAGCUCUCCUUGCUCUGUCCACCCACGUCCGGUCUCCAUCCUUCCCAGCUCAGGACCCAAAGAGAUGACCAACCGUUCUCAGCCUCGACGGCUCGGGCGGAAGGUGGGAGCCCUGGGGGUGAGGCAGGCAGCGCUCUCGGCAACAGCUGGCCCUAGGAGAGCUGAAUAAUUAGGGGAUUCUGUAGGUGCCAGGUUCAUGAUCUGGGGAUGAAGAUGGGCUUUUCUGCGAUUGUCCAUGUUACAUUGCUGAUCCUUCAUCUGCAU